rnacentral:rRNA from 1 species
UACGUAGGCAGCAAGCGUUGUUCGGAAUUACUGGGCGUAAAGAGUGUGUAGGCGGUGCUCUAAGUUUGGUGUGAAAUCUCCCGGCUCAACUGGGAGGGUGCAUCGAAAACUGGAGUGCUCGAGGGUGGGAGAGGUAAGCGGAAUUCCUGGUGUAGCGGUGAAAUGCGUAGAUAUCAGGAGGAACACCUGUGGUGUAGACAGCUUACUGGACCACUUCUGACGCUGAGACACGAAAGCGUGGGGAGCAAACAGG